AAUGAACGCUGGCGGCAGGCCUAACACAUGCAAGUCGAACGGAUCCUUCGGGAUUAGUGGCGGACGGGUGAGUAACGCGUGGGAACAUACCCUUUGGUACGGAAUAGCCUCGGGAAGCUGGGAGUAAUACCGUAUGUGGUCGAGAGACGAAAGAUUUAUCGCCAAAGGGGUGGCCCGCGUUGGAUUAGGUAGUUGGUGGGGUAAUGGCCUACCAAGCCGACGAUCCAUAGCUGGUUUGAGAGGAUGAUCAGCCACACUGGGACUGAGACACGGCCCAGACUCCUACGGGAGGCAGCAGUGGGGAAUCUUAGACAAUGGGGGAAACCCUGAUCUAGCCAUGCCGCGUGAUCGAUGAAGGCCUUAGGGUUGUAAAGAUCUUUCAGGUGGGAAGAUAAUGACUGUACCACCAGAAGAAGCCCCGGCUAACUCCGUGCCAGCAGCCGCAGUAA
rnacentral:rRNA from 1 species